rnacentral:rRNA from 1 species
UACAGAGGUCUCAAGCGUUGUUCGGAUUCAUUGGGCGUAAAGGGUGCGUAGGUGGCGCGGUAAGUCGGGUGUGAAAUUUCGGAGCUUAACUCCGAAACUGCAUUCGAUACUGCCGUGCUUGAGGACUGGAGAGGAGACUGGAAUUUACGGUGUAGCAGUGAAAUGCGUAGAGAUCGUAAGGAAGACCAGUGGCGAAGGCGGGUCUCUGGACAGUUCCUGACACUGAGGCGCGAAGGCCAGGGGAGCAAACGGG